CUUUAUUUGGCAUAGUCAUCGCUUGGGUUUGUCCGAUAACGCACCUUCUUAUUACUAUAGUCAUUGGUGUGCUCAGGGCGCGUAAGACACUCAAGAAUUCCAUCAGUUCUUCCAGCUGUUAUUCUAAAAAAAGUUAACGGUAAAUAAAGUUAUUAAAGUUCAGGUUCAAUUUUAUUUUUUGCAGCUGCAGUGAUCUGAAAAUUUAGGAGUGUGUUCUAAAUUAACUGUUUGUCACAAAAAGUAUCGAGUCCCUUCUACUACCAAGAUCUGAGCACGCCAAUGAUCAUAGAAGCCGCAAGAGCCUACUUUGAUCGCUCUUUAAUGAAUUUGUUGGAUAAUUUAUAGAUAGGGUAGACUGCUACAAGCAGCUCGGGUCAUCAAAGAAGCAAGGAGAUUUUCUCGAAUUGAUUCUCACAAGCACGAGGGGGAGGGAAAGGAAAAGUCAACCCCCGUUUCAGUGCAUUACAUCAUCGUUAGCAGACUAAAAGCAACAUACCGUCAAUUGGUGAAACUACACAUCCCUUCUUAUUGGCAGUGGAGGGAAACCAUCAAGAUGCGAUUUUCCGUCUAAUUCACAGCUUCUUCGCAUCCUGCCCAGCGCGGCUCACCGGUAGUUCCAUUAUCGAAGCUGAACACGACCAUCGCCGCAGUCGUCAUCGGAAGCAAGAUAUGAGGUCAUAAAAUGUCGGACUUUCCGCCACCACGUUAAUGGAUGAAGAUUGCCUGCCAGUAGCGGGGGUAGAAACAUUUAAUAUCAUGUCAUUUUUCUCAUCAAGCGCAAAUCAAUAAA